UCUUAUGGAUGAGCAAAGAAAGUGGUUUCUUGAGAUGGAAUCUAUCACUAGUGAAGACACUGUGAA
rnacentral:pre_miRNA from 1 species